UACGUAGGGUGCAAGCGUUGUCCGGAAUUAUUGGGCGUAAAGAGCUCGUAGGCGGUUUGUCGCGUCUGCUGUGAAAACUCAGGGCUUAACCCUGAGCCUGCAGUGGGUACGGGCAGACUAGAGUGUGGUAGGGGAGACUGGAAUUCCUGGUGUAGCGGUGAAAUGCGCAGAUAUCAGGAGGAACACCGAUGGCGAAGGCAGGUCUCUGGGCCAUAACUGACGCUGAGAAGCGAAAGCAUGGGGAGCGAACAGG
rnacentral:rRNA from 1 species